rnacentral:rRNA from 1 species
CGCGGCCUAUCAGCUUGUUGGUGAGGUAAUGGCUCACCAAGGCGACGACGGGUAGCCGGCCUGAGAGGGUGACCGGCCACACUGGGGCUGAGACACGGCCCAGACUCCUACGGGAGGCAGCAGUGGGGAAUAUUGCACAAUGGGCGAAAGCCUGAUGCAGCGACGCCGCGUGAGGGAUGACGGCCUUCGGGUUGUAAACCUCUUUCAGUAGGGAAGAAGCGAAAGUGACGGUACCUGCAGAAGAAGCACCGGCUAACUACGUGCCAGCAGCCGCGGUAAUACGUAGGGUGCGAGCGUUAUCCGGAAUUAUUGGGCGUAAAGAGCUCGUAGGCGGUUUGUCGCGUCUGUCGUGAAAGUCCGGGGCUUAACCCCGGAUCUGCGGUGGGUACGGGCAGACUAGAGUGCAGUAGGGGAGACUGGAAUUCCUGGUGUAGCGGUGGGAUGCGCAGAUAUCAGGAGGAACACCGAUGGCGAAGGCAGGUCUCUGGGCUGUAACUGACGCUGAGGAGCGAAAGCAUGGGGAGCGAACAGGAUUAGAUACCCUGGUAGUCCAUGCCGUAAACGUUGGGCACUAGGUGUGGGGACCAUUCCACGGUUUCCGCGCCGCAGCUAACGCAUUAAGUGCCCCGCCUGGGGAGUACGG